rnacentral:rRNA from 1 species
UUCUUGGUCAUUUAGAGGAAGUAAAAGUCGUAACAAGGUUUCCGUAGGUGAACCUGCGGAAGGAUCAUUACUGAUUUGGCGGACCGAGCGUCAGCGAGGUUCCGCGAUCACCUGUAUUUAAAACCCACACUUUUGAAUUAUAUGUAUAUUUUUGUAUUUUUGAUAAAAAAAAGAUCACUUUCAACAACGGAUCUCUUGGCUCUCGCAUCGAUGAAGAACGUAGCGAAGUGCGAUAAGUAAUGUGAAUUGCAGAAUUCCGUGAAUCACCGAAUCUUUGAACGCAAAUUGCACUCUCUGGUAUUCCGGAGAGUAUGCCUGUUUGAGGGUCAGUUAAAUAAAAAUCGGUGUUGUUGCUGCCUUGCGUGGUGACGCAUCGGAUUUGGGUCGUCUUACCUUCGGUUAAGUGACCUAAAAUUUUGCAUGAUUUUUCGAACGUAUUUAAAUUAUUUACGUACGUUUGUGAUAAUCGAACAUUAGGUGUGGUCAUCUUCAUGAUUCGCGCCUAUGAUUUCUCAUCAAAAUGACCUCAAAUCAGGUAAGAGUACCCGCUGAACUUAAGCAUAUCAAUAAGCGGAGGA